AUUGAACGCUGGCGGUAUGCUUAACACAUGCAAGUCGAACGGCAGCAUAAUCUUCGGAUUGAUGGCGAGUGGCGGACGGGUGAGUAAUAUAUAGGAAUCUGCCUUGUAGUGGGGGAUAACUAUCCGAAAGGAUAGCUAAUACCGCAUAAUGAUUACGGUGUAAAGCAGGGGAUCGUCGGACCUUGCGCUACAACUUGAGCCUCAACAAGAUUAGCUAGUUGGUGAGGUAAAGGCUCACCAAGGCGACGAUCUUUAGCUGGUCUGAGAGGAUGAUCAGCCACACUGGGACUGAGACACGGCCCAGACUCUUCCGGGAGGCAGCAGUGGGGAAUAUUGGACAAUGGGCGCAAGCCUGAUCCAGCAAUACCGCGUUUGUGAAGAAGGCCUUCGGGUUGUAAAGCACUUUUGUUAGGGAGGAUGGUGAUUUUGGCGAAUACCCAAAGUCAUUGACGUUACCUAAAGAGUCAGCACCGGCUAACUCCGUGCCAGCCGCCGCCGUAA
rnacentral:rRNA from 1 species